rnacentral:rRNA from 1 species
GAUGAACGCUGGCGGCGUGCCUAAUACAUGCAAGUCGAGCGAACGGACGAGAAGCUUGCUUCUCUGAUGUUAGCGGCGGACGGGUGAGUAACACGUGGAUAACCUACCUAUAAGACUGGGAUAACUUCGGGAAACCGGAGCUAAUACCGGAUAAUAUUUUGAACCGCAUGGUUCAAAAGUGAAAGACGGUCUUGCUGUCACUUAUAGAUGGAUCCGCGCUGCAUUAGCUAGUUGGUAAGGUAACGGCUUACCAAGGCAACGAUGCAUAGCCGACCUGAGAGGGUGAUCGGCCACACUGGAACUGAGACACGGUCCAGACUCCUACGGGAGGCAGCAGUAGGGAAUCUUCCGCAAUGGGCGAAAGCCUGACGGAGCAACGCCGCGUGAGUGAUGAAGGUCUUCGGAUCGUAAAACUCUGUUAUUAGGGAAGAACAUAUGUGUAAGUAACUCUGCACAUCUUGACGGUACCUAAUCAGAAAGCCACGGCUAACUACGUG